ensembl:lncRNA
UUAAUUUUUAGGACUUUUAUUUAGAAAUCAUAGCUUCUUUCAUUUUUUGUUGUUUUCUUCAAGAAAAAAUACUUGAUUGUCUGUGGGACUUGUCUGGGGAAAAUAAAGUUAGAUAUCAAAAAUAAAUUGAGCUUAAAGUAAACCUCUACCAUCCCAGUGAAAAUGCCCCACGAUAAACAACAUCAUCACACCAUUGAAAGAAGUUCAGAAAACAAGCAACGACCCGUUAUGCCUUUGCAUGUUCAUAUUCAACGAACAGUACAUGUUUUGUCGACUCCUCAAUGCUAAACAUGAGCUCCAGCAACCAGCCAGGAAAAUCCUCCUUGGGAGAGUUGAAAGGUUUGCGGGGAGAGGGGGGGAAGAGGGAGGAUGGGGUUAGCGCACAUUGGUGUAGCAUUAUAUUGAAUGAUGCUGUAUUGAGCAGGUGCUACUGAUGCUUCUGUUGCCUACAUCUGAUGAACGCCUCCUCUUCGAGCCUUUCUUUGGCUGCUCUGCUCUUGACCGCCGCCACGCUCUCUCUGCCCAGGAGUAGACCUAGAGAACAGAUGCAUUUCAGCACAGACAGCACAAAGACGGUGUCAAGGAAAAUUGGGGGAAAGGCAUACCUUCAUGUUUGGGAGUCCAUGGCUCCACUGUCUGCCCGGUUGAGGCCAAAGGCUGUGUCCUGGUGGGGGGGUGUUCUGAUGAAGGGGGGUGGUCUGAUGCAGAGGUGUAUUCUGAUGAUGGGGUGUGUUCGGAUGGAGAGGAGUGUGUGGGUGGAGGCGGGGUGUGUUCUGAAGGACUGGUGUAUCCCGAUGGAGAGGUGUGUUCGGGUGGAGAGCUGUGGCCUAAUGGAGGGCUGUGUUGUGAUGAAGAGGUCUGAUCGGGUGGAGAGGUACUUUCUGAAGAAGGGGUGUGUCCUGAUGGAGGGCUGUGUUGGGAUGAAGAGGUCUGAUCAGGUGGAGAGGCGUGUUCUGAUGAAGGACCGUGUUCGGGUGGAGAGGUACUUUCUGAAGAAGGGGUGUGUUCUGAUGAAGGAGAGGGUUCGGGGGGAGAGGCGGUGGGCUGUGGUUCGGCUGUACAGAGGGAGCCGUCUUCUGACCCAGACUCACUCUGGACAUUGUCCACAUAGCGCGUCUCUUGGAAGACGACGUCGAAGUCACGAGGCAGUCGCCAGGGUCUUGGCGUCAGACAGGGAGAGUCAGAGUCUUCCUCAUCUUCUUCUCCCCCUCCUUCCACUCUGCCACUUUCUUCUUCGUCUUCUUCCCCCAUUUGGUCCACUGUCUCCUUUACACCUCCUUUUUGGGUCUCCUCUCUGUCCCCAUCAUCCUCUUCCAUGUCAUGGGCUUCAUCAUCAUCAUCACCCUCCUCUUCCUCCUCCUCCUCCUCGAUACAUGUGAGGAUUGACCUACACUCCAUCUGUGGGACAACUUGAGUUAUAAACCUUUUUCACAGAGGUGUCAUCAUAGGACACACAGCUGUCGCUCAUAACACUAAUUAGGUCUACUCCCUUAACGUACCAGUGCACAGAUAGUAGACCAAACUAGUAUCGAG